UACGGAGGGUGCAAGCGUUGUCCGGAUUUAUUGGGUUUAAAGGGUGCGCAGGUGGUCUAUUAAGUCAGUGGUGAAAAGACGGUCGCUCAACGAUUGCAGUGCCAUUGAAACUGGUAGACUUGAGUAAAGUAGAGGUGGGCGGAAUUGAUAGUGUAGCGGUGAAAUGCAUAGAUAUUAUCAAGAACUCCAAUUGCGUAGGCAGCUCACUUUGGCUUUUACUGACACUCAUGC
rnacentral:rRNA from 1 species